GUGCUGGCCUCAGCAGCACGUACACUAAUGUUGGGACGAUACAGAGACGAUUAGCGCAGCCACUGCGCAAGGAUGACAUGCACAUUCGUGAAGCAUUCCAUAUUUUC
ensembl:snRNA U6 U6 spliceosomal RNA